CGAUACUCUCUACGGUCAUCAGAAUUACUGGUGAAACGAUGCGAAGAUAACCUUACUCACCGAGCUUCAUGAUCUAAACAGAUGGCUGCGAACACAACACAACAAAACCAACCUGGAAGGUUUGUACUUUGGCCGAUAAAGUUAACAUUAAAGGAACGGAGUUACUGUUGCUACACAAAUGUUUCCCAGAACUGGCAUGCGACAACAAUGAAUAUGGUUUCACCGGAGGGCAAAGAAGCAACAGAAAAGGAUCCCUCAGCCUUCUAGUUUCAAGAUGAGAGUAUGAUAAGUUGUUUAUAACAGUGGCCUCGUGCGGGUCAUUUUCCAUAUGUUACUAAGGGACGUGUUUCUACUUAUUGUCUUUGUAAAGUGCUACAGCAACACCUUGUGGGGGGUAUUACUGAAGACAAUUUGGCCGCUGUAAAAAGUUUCUAGAGCUGAAGUUUCGAGCGUUAGCCUUCCGUUAACUCUUCCUCAGAACGAAUGACAGCCUUACAAGAAUCGCUCCUUCUUUCAAAGUAAAAAAUAUCCACUUUUUGAAAAAAAAUCGUGUAAAUUAGUGAUUACUUGGGAUUCUUAAGAUAUGCUUCAGUUCUGUCUCCUGCAAAGGACAUGUUGUAAUGAGUGUCUGGGAAAACCAGAAUUUUCUCUUCAUAAUUUUUAUCAAACCUCACAAUUGAAGUUUUUGUCCCAGGAAAUUUUUUCCAGCAACUAAAUCUCCCAUCUCGUGGCAGAAAACCACUCAAAGCUGUCAAGAUCUUCAAUAAUUUACAGUGGAAUUUAAGAUAUUUUUCUCAAUUUGGAAACAAAUUUGUAAAGCAUGUUAAACUGCUUAAAAUUAUUUUUAAAAAGGCUGAGGCAUAAGAGUAAACAAGAGUAUAAAAUAUCAACAAAGAACUGAGAAAAAAAAUUUUAAAAAUCAACUCUAUGAAAUUAUCUCCAACAACCGGACGUCUUCUAUGAAAAAGACAUUAAUUGUUAAAUUAUUAAACGACUUUUUACAUUCCUUGCAAAACAAAUAAUUAUAAGUUUUCAACCGGUAAAAACUUAACGUUAUAUAACAUAACAGUUACACAAGAAUCGCGUUUUCCUUUACUAAACCUGACAAACCCUUAAGUUAGAACAUCUUGAUUCCUAAAGGUAAACUGGAUAAGGACGUUUAAUAUAUUUGUUACAAUCGCAAUGACGGGCAACAGUUUGGUAAUGAUAAACUUUGUUAGCGAUGUUA